rnacentral:rRNA from 1 species
UAGGGAAUCUUAGACAAUGGGGGCAACCCUGAUCUAGCCAUGCCGCGUGUGUGAUGAAGGCCCUAGGGUCGUAAAGCACUUUCGCCAGAGAUGAUAAUGACAGUAUCUGGUAAAGAAACCCCGGCUAACUCCGUGCCAGCAGCCGCGGUAAUACGGAGGGGGUUAGCGUUGUUCGGAAUUACUGGGCGUAAAGCGCACGUAGGCGGAUUAGUAAGUUAGAGGUGAAAUCCCAGGGCUCAACCCUGGAACUGCCUUUAAUACUGCUAGUCUNGAGUUCGAGAGAGGUAAGUGGAAUUCCNAGUGUAGAGGUGAAAUUCGUAGAUAUUNGGAGGAACACCAGUGGCGAAGGCGGCUNACUGGCUCGAUACUGACGCUGAGGUGCGAAAGUGUGGGGAGCAAACAGGAUUAGAUACCCUGGUAGUCCACACCGUAAACGAUGAAUGCCAGNCGUCNGCAAGUAUACUUGUUGGUGUCACACCUAACGGAUAAGCAUCCGCC